UACAGAGACUGCAAGCGUUAUUCGGAUUCACUGGGCGUAAAGGGUGCGCAGGCGGCCGUGUGUGUUAGAUGUGAAAUCCCGGGGCUCAACCCCGGAACUGCGUCUAAAACUACAUGGCUAGAGUAUUGGAGAGGGUAGCGGAAUUCACGGUGUAGCAGUGAAAUGCGUAGAUAUCGUGAGGAACACCAGAGGCGAAGGCGGCUACCUGGACAAUUACUGACGCUCAGGCACGAAAGCGUGGGGAGCAAAAGGG
rnacentral:rRNA from 2 species